rnacentral:rRNA from 1 species
CCUACGGGGGGCAGCAGUGGGGAAUAUUGCACAAUGGGGGAAACCCUGAUGCAGCGACGCCGCGUGAGUGAAGAAGUAAUUCGUUACGUAAAGCUCUAUCAGCAGGGAAGAAACACUGACCUUACGGUCAGCAGACGGUACCUGAGUAAGACGCCCCGGCUAACUCCGUGCCAGCAGCCGCGGUAAUACGUAGGGGGCAAGCGUUAUCCGGAUUUACUGGGUGUAAAGGGAGCGUAGACGGUGCGCCAAGUCUGGAGUGAAAUGCCGCAGCUUAACUGCGGAACUGCUUUGGAAACUGGCGAACUAGAGUGCGGGAGGGGUAAGCGGAAUUCCUAGUGUAGCGGUGAAAUGCGUAGAUAUUAGGAGGAACACCGGUGGCGAAGGCGGCUUACUGGACCGUAACUGACGUUGAGGCUCGAAAGCGUGGGGAGCAAACAGGAUUAGAUACCCGGGUAGUC